AGCGAACGCUGGCGGCAGGCCUAACACAUGCAAGUCGAACGGCAGCACAGUAAGAGCAUGCUCUUACGGGUGGCGAGUGGCAGACGGGUGAGGAGUACAUCGGAAUCUACUUAUUCGUGGGGGAUAACGUAGGGAAACUGACGCUAAUACCGCAUACGACCUACCGGUGAAUGCAGGGGAUCUUGGUACAUUGGUCGAUUGAAUGACCGGUCGCCGGAUUAGCUAGUUGGAGGGGUAAAGGCAGACCAAGGCGACGAUCCGUAGCUGGCCUGAGAGGAUGAUCAGCCACCCUGGAACUGAGACACGUCCCAGACUCCUACGGGGGGCCACGGUGGGGAAUAUUGGACAAUGCGCGAAAGCCUGAUCCAGCCAUACCGCCUGGGUGAAGAAGGCCUUCGGGUUGUAAAGCCCUUUUGUUGUGAAAGAAGAGCAGCAGGUUAAUACCCCGCUGUUCUGACGGUACCCAAAGAAUAAGCACCGGCUAACUUCGUG
rnacentral:rRNA from 1 species